rnacentral:rRNA from 1 species
AGCGGCGGACGGGUGAGUAACGCGUGGGUAACCUGCCCUGUACACACGGAUAACAUACCGAAAGGUAUGCUAAUACGAGAUAAUAUACUUUUAUCGCAUGGUAGAAGUAUCAAAGCUUUUGCGGUACAGGAUGGACCCGCGUCUGAUUAGCUAGUUGGUAAGGUAACGGCUUACCAAGGCGACGAUCAGUAGCCGACCUGAGUGGGUGAUCGGCCACAUUGGAACUGAGACACGGUCCAAACCCCUACGGGAGGCAGCAGUGGGGAAUAUUGCACAAUGGGCGAAAGCCUGAUGCAGCAACGCCGCGUGAGCGAUGAAGGCCUCCGGGUCGUAAAGCUCUGUCCUCAAGGAAGAUAAUGACGGUACUUGAGGAGGAAGCCCCGGCUAACUACGUGCCAGAAGCCGCGGUAAUACGUAGGGGGCUAGCGUUAUCCGGAAUUACUGGGCGUAAAGGGUGCGUAGGUGGUUUCUUAAGUCAGAGGUGAAAGGCUACGGCUCAACCGUAGUAAGCCUUUGAAACUGGGAAACUUGAGUGCAGGAGAGGAGAGUGGAAUUCCUAGUGUAGCGGUGAAAUGCGUAGAUAUUAGGAGGAACACCAGUUGCGAAGGCGGCUCUCUGGACUGUAACUGACACUGAGGCACGAAAGCGUGGGGAGCAAACAGGAUUAGAUACCCUGGUAGUCCACGCCGUAAACGAUGAGUACUAGCUGU